UGACUCAUACUUCCACAAGGUGGGGGAGACCUCAGGAAACUUACAAUCAGGUGGAAGGGGAAGCAGGAACCUUUCUCACAAGGUGGCAGAAUAGAGAGAAGAAGGAAGACU